rnacentral:rRNA from 1 species
UACGUAGGGUGCAAGCGUUGUCCGGAAUUAUUGGGCGUAAAGAGCUCGUAGGCGGUCUGUUGCGUCCGCUGUGAAAACUCGGGGCUUAACCCCGAGCCUGCAGUGGAUACGGGCAGACUAGAGGUAGGUAGGGGAGAAUGGAAUUCCCGGUGUAGCGGUGAAAUGCGCAGAUAUCGGGAGGAACACCAGUGGCGAAGGCGACUACCUGGCCUGUUCUUGACGCUGAGGCGCGAAAGCUAGGGGAGCAAACGGGG